CGCCAAUGAGUGAGGCCACGAAUUCUGAACCAGGACUUCUCCGGUGCCCUGGAACCUCACUGGCUUUUCCCAAAUACUAAAAUCUCCCCAAACCGCCUCCCUCAAGUCCUCUGUUUCCCAAAUCUUCUGCCCUUCCUCCUUCUUUUGCCGCCUUCUGUCUUCAUCUCUCUUGAGUCCUGACUUUGCCCUGUUCAAGCCUCCACUUUCUCCAUUGCUCUGCCCACCUAGCCAGGCUUUUCCCUUCUCUCGCCAGUCCCUGAACCCCUUGAACAUUGAUCGUCCCUGUUCUCAACAGACUCAGAUCUCCCAGGAGCAACUACCUGAGGGCAUCUCGUUGAAAGACAGAGUCUCAUGAAGUUGCAGGACUGGGUUCAAACUUGCAGUCCUCCUGCUUCAGCCUCCUGAGUAUACGGGACCAAAGACUGGAAAUUCAAGAGCAGGUCUCCAGCGUCUGGUCAGCUUCCGGUGAGGACCUUCUUGCUGAGCAUAACAUGGUGGAGCACCUAGCAACAACAGAGAAACACUGUGAUGUCAAUCCUCCCACCUCUCCACGAUGUUAUGCGAGUCUGUCAAACACCAAGUCUCAUUAGUUGAGAUCAUGGAAAAGGACUGACUUCUGCCUCUGGGUAGAAGGAGCAGGAUCCACCAAUCUUAGAUAGUAAAAUGAUCCAUUAACAGAUCAAAUCGCCCCUUAAGUAAUUUAGAG
rnacentral:lncRNA from 1 species